UCAGACUCUUUGUCUUCUGAGAAGUCUGACAAAAGCAACAGUUCAAGUGCAUCGACUGUAAUCUUACAUGAGGUCCCUAACAAGAGACAAAGAAAAGAGGACACAUCUGCACUGUCUGCAAAACAGGCAACUCCCUAUUAAAGCUAUCAGAGAACAGUAUGCUCUUGGCAUAGUGAUACUGUUCCCUCAGAGAUCCAUAUUCCAAGAAAGGCUACGAACACUUUUAUGAUGCUGCAAGCAACAUAGGAUACAAUGCUUAGCAUAUGAAAACAGUCCACAGGAAGAUUAGACGAGGAUCUUUGCCACUAGACAGCCCUCAUGAUGUUUCUCCAGGAGGCCCAAAAUGCCAAAGGGCUACUAAUUUUGGAGGGCAAC